UGUGAAGAACUGGGUGGGAGGGGGGGUAGUACGUAGGGGGGAAGGGUGGGCCGGAGUUGUUGAGCGGAGAGAGCGUGUAGGCGGCCAGGCAGGGCAGCUGUGAAAACUCGGUGCGCAACCGCGAGGUGGCGGUUGAAACCGUCUGGCUAGAGUCCGGAAGAGGAGAGUGGAAUUCCCGGUGGAGCGGUGAAAUGCGCAGAUAUCGGGAAGAACACCCGUGGCGAAGGCGGCUCUCUGGGACGGUACUGACGCUGAGACGCGAAAGCGUGGGGAGCGAACAGGAUUAGAUACCCCAGUAGUC
rnacentral:rRNA from 1 species